GGGUUGUUAGUCUAGUGGUAUGAUUCUCGUUUUGGGAACGAGAGGUCUCGGGUUCGAUAUUACAAUCCCGAACAACCCC
rnacentral:tRNA from 1 species